CCUGGCCGUAAACGAUGGGUACUAGGUGUAGGAGGUAUCGACCCCUCCUGUGCCGGAGUUAACGCAAUAAGUACCCCGCCUGGGGAGUACGUCCGCAAGGAUGAAACUCAAAGGAAUUGACGGGGGCCCGCACAAGCGGUGGAGUAUGUGGUUUAAUUCGACGCAACGCGAAGAACCUUACCAAGGCUUGACAUUGAGUGACGGCCAUAGAGAUAUGGCUUUCCCUUCGGGGACACGAAAACAGGUGGUGCAUGGCUGU
rnacentral:rRNA from 1 species